UACGUAGGUGGCGAGCGUUGUCCGGAAUGACUGGGUGUAAAGGGAGUGUAGGUGGUUGUUUAAGUUAAAUGUGAAAGCUCUGGGCUCAACCCAGAAAGGUCAUUUAAUACUGGACGACUGGAGUGCAGGAGGGGUAAGCGGAAUUCCUAGUGUAGCGGUAGAAUGCGUAGAUAUUAGGAGGAACACCGGUGGCGAAGGCGGCUUACUGGACUGUAACUGACACUGAGACUCGAAAGCGUGGGGAUCAAAC
rnacentral:rRNA from 1 species